GCAGUCGCCGCGGGAAAACGAAGGGGGCUAGCGUUGUUCGGAAUUACUGGGCGUAAAGCGCACGUAGGCGGACAUUUAAGUCAGGGGUGAAAUCCCGGGGCUCAACCCCGGAACUGCCUUUGAUACUGGGUGUCUAGAGUAUGGAAGAGGUGAGUUGAAUUCCGAGUGUAGAGGUGAAAUUCGUAGAUAUUCGGAGGAACACCAGUGGCGAAGGCGGCUCACUGGUCCAUUACUGACGCUGAGGUGCGAAAGCGUGGGGAGCAAACAGGAUUAGAUACCCCAGUAGUCCCUGUCUCUUAUAC
rnacentral:rRNA from 1 species